CUACGGGUUGCAGCAGUGAGGAAUAUUGCACAAUGGGGGGAACCCUGAUGCAGCAACGCCGCGUGGAGGAUGACGCAUUUCGGUGUGUAAACUCCUUUUAUAUGUCAAGAAAAUGACGGUAGCAUAUGAAUAAGCGCCGGCUAACUCCGUGCCAGCAGCCGCGGUAAUACGGAGGGCGCAAGCGUUACUCGGAAUCACUGGGCGUAAAGGACGCGUAGGCGGGUUGAAAAGUCAGGUGUGAAAGCCUACAGCUUAACUGUAGAACUGCACUUGAAACUCUCAACCUAGAGUAUGGGAGGGGCAGAUGGAAUUAGUGGUGUAGGGGUAAAAUCCGUAGAUAUCACUAGGAAUACCUAAAGCGAAGGCGAUCUGCUGGAACAUUACUGACGCUAAGGCGUGAAAGCGUGGGGAGCAAACAGGAUUAGAUACCCUAGUAGUC
rnacentral:rRNA from 1 species